AAGAACACUUACUGAGAGCCACGGUGGCACCUCACACGUUUGUCCUUCUCUACAGGUAGUCCUCGACUUACAUCCACAACCGCUGCUAAGUGAGGCGGUUGUUGAAGGAGUCUUCACCCCAUUUUACGACCUCCCUUGCCACGGUGGUAAAGAGGACCCCUGCAAAUGUGAAGGGACCAACCCGGUUGUUCAGUGAAUCGGGCUCGUCAGAAAGAGGAUCACGUGACACACACCCCGGAACACUGCAACAGUCCUCAGUACAAGCCAGUUGCCAAGCGUCUGAAUUUUGAUCACGCGACCACGGGGGGACGCUGCAAUGAUUAGGAGUGCGAAAACUGGUCGUAAACAGAAGGUGAAAUGACCUCGGAACGGUUCCUGCUUCUUUGUUCAAAUUCUCCCAGCUUGCUCUGGCAACCCUGGGCAGGGGCCAGCAUCUUCAAUUUAAUUUGCUCUCUUGAUUUGCAAUUAUCACCAAGAUGAUGGCUUCAAGGAGGAGGUGGGAUAAGGACACCAAGGGAUCAAGAGUUACGACUGCUCGGGAAAGGGUUUCUUCUGAUCCUGAACUCGUUUCUGCAGGAGGCCAAGGUGACGUUGAGAUGUGGGCAUCCUCGGAGACAAACUUGCUAUGAAAG